rnacentral:lncRNA from 1 species
CCAUGUGGCCUACCCGUGUAAGCCCACAUGCCCGUGUGGGCCCUCAUGGCCCAAAUUUGCCUUGGCCUUGUGGAUCACACGGCUUGACCCAAAAUCCCACACGCCUGUGUAGUUUACCCGUGUGGACCCAUACGUCCGUGUAGCCCACACAACCCAAAUCAAUCUAGCCCGUGUGUCGCACACUGUCUGCUUGGCCAUCUCAUUGCCAUGUCUUGUGCGCACGGCCUGGCCUCGUCGAUCACACGCUUGUGUUAAGGCACACGACCUACCGCACGGGCGACCACACACCCAUGUGGCGUCAAUAGUAGAGUUUUUUGGAUUUUUUUUGAACUCGUUUUUUACGUUACGGGUAC